rnacentral:rRNA from 1 species
GCAGUCGAGCGGUAGCACAGAGAGCUUGCUCUCGGGUGACGAGCGGCGGACGGGUGAGUAAUGUCUGGGAAACUGCCUGAUGGAGGGGGAUAACUACUGGAAACGGUAGCUAAUACCGCAUAAUGUCGCAAGACCAAAGUGGGGGACCUUCGGGCCUCAUGCCAUCAGAUGUGCCCAGAUGGGAUUAGCUAGUAGGUGGGGUAACGGCUCACCUAGGCGACGAUCCCUAGCUGGUCUGAGAGGAUGACCAGCCACACUGGAACUGAGACACGGUCCAGACUCCUACGGGAGGCAGCAGUGGGGAAUAUUGCACAAUGGGCGCAAGCCUGAUGCAGCCAUGCCGCGUGUGUGAAGAAGGCCUUCGGGUUGUAAAGCACUUUCAGCGGGGAGGAAGGCGGUGAGGUUAAUAACCUUGUCGAUUGACGUUACCCGCAGAAGAAGCACCGGCUAACUCCGUGCCAGCAGCCGCGGUAAUACGGAGGGUGCAAGCGUUAAUCGGAAUUACUGGGCGUAAAGCGCACGCAGGCGGUCUGUCAAGUCGGAUGUGAAAUCCCCGGGCUCAACCUGGGAACUGCAUUCGAAACUGGCAGGCUAGAGUCUUGUAGAGGGGGGUAGAAUUCCAGGUGUAGCGGUGAAAUGCGUAGAGAUCUGGAGGAAUACCGGUGGCGAAGGCGGCCCCCUGGACAAAGACUGACGCUCAGGUGCGAAAGCGUGGGGAGCAAACAGGAUUAGAUACCCUGGUAGUCCACGCCGUAAACGAUGUCGAUUUGGAGGUUGUGCCCUUGAGGCGUGGCUUCCGGAGCUAACGCGUUAAAUCGACCGCCUGGGGAGUACGGCCGCAAGGUUAAAACUCAAAUGAAUUGACGGGGGCCCGCACAAGCGGUGGAGCAUGUGGUUUAAUUCGAUGCAACGCGAAGAACCUUACCUGGUCUUGACAUCCACAGAACUUUCCAGAGAUGGAUUGGUGCCUUCGGGAACUGUGAGACAGGUGCUGCAUGGCUGUCGUCAGCUCGUGUUGUGAAAUGUUGGGUUAAGUCCCGCAACGAGCGCAACCCUUAUCCUUUGUUGCCAGCGGUCCGGCCGGGAACUCAAAGGAGACUGCCAGUGAUAAACUGGAGGAAGGUGGGGAUGACGUCAAGUCAUCAUGGCCCUUACGACCAGGGCUACACACGUGCUACAAUGGCAUAUACAAAGAGAAGCGACCUCGCGAGAGCAAGCGGACCUCAUAAAGUAUGUCGUAGUCCGGAUUGGAGUCUGCAACUCGACUCCAUGAAGUCGGAAUCGCUAGUAAUCGUAGAUCAGAAUGCUACGGUGAAUACGUUCCCGGGCCUUGUACACACCGCCCGUCACACCAUGGGAGUGGGUUGCAAAAGAAGUAGGUAGCUUAACCUUCGGGAGGGCGCU